rnacentral:rRNA from 1 species
GGAAUCUUCCACAAUGGGCGAAAGCCUGAUGGAGCAACGCCGCGUGUGUGAUGAAGGGUUUCGGCUCGUAAAGCACUGUUGUAAGAGAAGAAUGACAUUGAGAGUAACUGUUCAAUGUGUGACGGUAUCUUACCAGAAAGGAACGGCUAAAUACGUGUCAG